rnacentral:lncRNA from 1 species
CUUCUAGUGACCUUUUAUUUCAAAUGUUGAUUACUCAUUUGAUUCCCUGACCAUGGCUACCAUUACUAUUUUAAGUGCCUCUCUCCUUCUGAGCAGUGAAGUUCCAGUGGGCUGAGGUUCUCUGCACUGCUGAUGGAGGAGACAGAAUUCCUGACCAUGGAACAGUCUAGAGAGCAGACAGCCCCAUCAGGUGCUAUGGUUUGAAUGUGUCCCCUCCAUUCAUCUCUUGAAGAUAUAUGCCCAAUGCCAAAGAGUUGGGAGACUGGAACUUUAAGAUGUGAUUCAAUCAGGGGCCGUCUAUGGGAAUGCUAAACUCAGUCUCUGGGGUGAAUAAGGAAUUAAAUGUCCAGGAAAUCAAGAAGACUCCGCUGAAGAGAAAUCUGAAGUUACAGCUUUACUCCUUCCGGAUUGAAGGGGUCUUGGGCCUGGGCGUGUACCAAGUAAACUCUGGAUGAGGUCAAUGUAGUGUGUUAAUUCUCUAUGGGCCAUCAGGGGACAAAUAAGCCAUUUCUGCUUGCUGACACUAAGAGAAACCCUUCUGUAAAAGAUGUGCUGACACUGAUAUGUGAGGCCUGAGCACACACAGCAUGGCGACAUGUCCACUGGAUUAUACAUGGCCUGAGGAUACAGUCUGGGAACACUUGCACCAAGGGUAUAGAUGAACUGGGAGUACGUGACCUGAAACAGCUCAGGGGGACCACAGCCAAGUUCCUUCAUUAUUCUGUGCUUCAGUUUCCUGAUAGCGUGAUGUGAGUGAGAGGCAGUCUGGGAGACAAGCUACAGAUGCUUUGAGAACGGAGUGAGGAGUUUAAUCUGCAGUUGUCAAGGCUCCUGCUCCUAUUCUUCUGGAAGAUGUGCACUUGGCGUUUAUGCAGCUUUGAAGUUCAAGGGAAACAAAAUUUGAGUGACUGGUCUCUAAGGCAGGGUCUCCCGGUGCCCUGUAAAAGGGUCUUUUAUCACCCAAAGGGGUCAUGAUCUACAGGUUGAGAACUUCUGCUCUGAGGCCACGGAGACAGUGGCACCAUAGACAUGGACAAUGUAACCAUUCCCAAAGGAAGGUGGAUGAUUCUAAGCUAGGCAGCAACCUCCAGAUGCAUCCAUAAAUCCAAGACAAAGAUACAACCAAAAACCAUUUCUGACAAUACGCACAUGUAUGCAGAUGCCUAUGGUGUUCAGAAGACAAUGUAAGGUAC